GGACGAACGCUGGCGGCGUGCCUAAUACAUGCAAGUAGAACGCUGAAGAGAGGAGCUUGCUCUUCUUGGAUGAGUUGCGAACGGGUGAGUAACGCGUAGGUAACCUGCCUUGUAGCGGGGGAUAACUAUUGGAAACGAUAGCUAAUACCGCAUAACAAUGGAUGACACAUGUCAUUUAUUUGAAAGGGGCAAUUGUUCCACUACAAGAUGGACCUGCGUUGUAUUAGCUAGUAGGUGAGGUAAUGGCUCACCUAGGCGACGAUACAUAGCCGACCUGAGAGGGUGAUCGGCCACACUGGGACUGAGACACGGCCCAGACUCCUACGGGAGGCAGCAGUAGGGAAUCUUCGGCAAUGGGGGCAACCCUGACCGAGCAACGCCGCGUGAGUGAAGAAGGUUUUCGGAUCGCAAAGCUCUGUUGUAAGUCAAGAACGGGUGUGAGAGUGGAAAGUUCACACUAUGACGGUAGCUUACCAGAAAGGGACGGCUAACUACGUGCCAGCAGCCGCGGUAAUACGUAGGUCCCGAGCGUUGUCCGGAUUUAUUGGGCGUAAAGCGAGCGCAGGCGGUUUGAUAAGUCUGAAGUUAAAGGCUGUGGCUCAACCAUAGUUCGCUUUGGAAACUGUCAAACUUGAGUGCAGAAGGGGAGAGUGGAAUUCCAUGUGUAGCGGUGAAAUGCGUAGAUAUAUGGAGGAACACCGGUGGCGAAAGCGGCUCUCUGGUCUGUAACUGACGCUGAGGCUCGAAAGCGUGGGGAGCGAACAGGAUUAGAUACCCUGGUAGUCCACGCCGUAAACGAUGAGUGCUAGGUGUUGGAUCCUUUCCGGGAUUCAGUGCCGCAGCUAACGCAUUAAGCACUCCGCCUGGGGAGUACGACCGCAAGGUUGAAACUCAAAGGAAUUGACGGGGGCCCGCACAAGCGGUGGAGCAUGUGGUUUAAUUCGAAGCAACGCGAAGAACCUUACCAGGUCUUGACAUCCCGAUGCUAUUUCUAGAGAUAGAAAGUUACUUCGGUACAUCGGUGACAGGUGGUGCAUGGUUGUCGUCAGCUCGUGUCGUGAGAUGUUGGGUUAAGUCCCGCAACGAGCGCAACCCCUAUUGUUAGUUGCCAUCAUUCAGUUGGGCACUCUAGCGAGACUGCCGGUAAUAAACCGGAGGAAGGUGGGGAUGACGUCAAAUCAUCAUGCCCCUUAUGACCUGGGCUACACACGUGCUACAAUGGUUGGUACAACGAGUUGCGAGUCGGUGACGGCGAGCUAAUCUCUUAAAGCCAAUCUCAGUUCGGAUUGUAGGCUGCAACUCGCCUACAUGAAGUCGGAAUCGCUAGUAAUCGCGGAUCAGCACGCCGCGGUGAAUACGUUCCCGGGCCUUGUACACACCGCCCGUCACACCACGAGAGUUUGUAACACCCGAAGUCGGAGAGGUAACCUUUUGGAGCCAGCCGCCUAAGGUGGGAC
rnacentral:rRNA from 1 species